GAUGAACGCUAGCGGCAGGCCUAAUACAUGCAAGUCGAACGAUAGAAGAGGGCUUGCUCUCUUCGAAAGUGGCGCACGGGUGCGUAACGCGUAUGCAACCUACCUUAAUCAGGGGGAUAGCCCGAAGAAAUCCGGAUUAACACCGCAUAAAAUCACAGUACAGCAUUGUACAAUGAUCAAAUAUUUAUAGGAUUAAGAUGGGCAUGCGUGACAUUAGCUAGUUGGCGGGGUAACGGCCCACCAAGGCGACGAUGUCUAGGGGAUCUGAGAGGAUGACCCACCACACUGGUACUGAGACACGGACCAGACUCCUACGGGAGGCAGCAGUAAGGAAUAGUGGUCAAUGGAGGCAACUCUGAACCAGCCAUGCCGCGUGCAGGAAGACGGCCCUCUGGGUUGUAAACUGCUUUUAUUCGGGAAUAAACCUCAUUACGUGUAAUGAGCUGAAUGUACCGAAGGAAUAAGGAUCGGCUAACUCCGUGCCAGCCGCCGCAGUAA
rnacentral:rRNA from 1 species